GAUGAACGCUAGCGGGAGGCUUAACACAUGCAAGUCGAGGGGUAACAUGAGGUAGCAAUACUUUGAUGACGACCGGCGCACGGGUGAGUAACACGUAUGCAACCUACCCUGUACAGGGGGAUAACCCGGAGAAAUUCGGACUAAUACCCCAUAAAGAUAUUUUGAGGCAUCUUAGAAUAUUUAAAGUUACGACGGUACGGGAUGGGCAUGCGCAACAUUAGCUGGUUGGUAGGGUAACGGCCUACCAAGGCUACGAUGUUUAGGGGACCUGAGAGGGUGAUCCCCCACACUGGUACUGAGACACGGACCAGACUCCUACGGGUGGCAG
rnacentral:rRNA from 1 species